UGUGACCUACGGGACGCAGCAGUGAGGAAUAUUGGUCAAUGGGCGAGAGCCUGAACCAGCCAAGUCGCGUGAGGGAGUACUGCCCUAUGGGUUGUAAACCUCUUUUGUCGGGGAGCAAAAGCCGGACGUGUCCGGCUGUGAGAGUACCCGAAGAAAAAGCAUCGGCUAACUCCGUGCCAGCAGCCGCGGUAAUACGGAGGAUGCGAGCGUUAUCCGGAUUUACUGGGUGUAAAGGGAGUGCAGGCGGCUUGGCAAGUCUGAUGUGAAAGGCUGGGGCUCAACCCCAGGACUGCAUUGGAAACUGU
rnacentral:rRNA from 1 species